rnacentral:rRNA from 1 species
AUCAACGCUGGCGGCGUGCCUCAGACAUGCAAGUCGAACGAUUAAGACUUCCUUCGGGAAGUGUAUAAAGUGGCGCACGGGUGAGUAACACGUAAGUAAUCUACCCUCGAGUGGGGAAUAACGUUCGGAAACGGACGCUAAUACCGCAUAACGCAGCGGCACCGCAAGGUGACAGUUGUUAAAGGAGUAAUUCGCUUGAGGAGGAGCUUGCGGCAGAUUAGCUAGUUGGUAAGGUAACGGCUUACCAAGGCUACGAUCUGUAUCCGGUCUAAGAGGACGGUCGGACACACUGACACUGAAUAACGGGUCAGACUCCUACGGGAGGCAGCAGUCGGGAAUUUUGGGCAAUGGGCGAAAGCCUGACCCAGCAACGCCGCGUGAAGGAUGAAGUAUUUCGGUAUGUAAACUUCGAAAGAAUGGGAAGAAUAAAUGACGGUACCAUUUAUAAGCUCCGGCUAACUACGU